AGUGAACGCUGGCGGUAGGCCUAACACAUGCAAGUCGAACGGCAGCACAGUAAGAGCUUGCUCUUACGGGUGGCGAGUGGCGGACGGGUGAGGAAUACAUCGGAAUCUACUUUUUCGUGGGGGAUAACGUAGGGAAACUUACGCUAAUACCGCAUACGACCUACGGGUGAAAGCAGGGGAUCUUCGGACCUUGCGCGAUUGAAUGAUCCGAUGUCGGAUUAGCUAGUUGGCGGGGUAAAGGCCCACCAAGGCGACGAUCCGUAGCUGGUCUGAGAGGAUGAUCAGCCAAACUGGAACUGAGACACGGUCCAGAAUCCUACGGGAGGCAGCAGUGGGGAAUAUUGGACAAUGGGGGCAAGCCUGAUCCAGCCAUACCGCGUGGGUGAAGAAGGCCUUCGGGUUGUAAAGCCCUUUUGUUGGGAAAGAAAAGCAGCAGGUUAAUACCCCGCUGUUCUGACGGUAACCAAAGAAUAAGCACCGGCUAACUUCGUG
rnacentral:rRNA from 1 species